AAUCAACGCUGGCGGCGUGCCUAACACAUGCAAGUCGAACGAGAAAGUGGAGCAAUCCAUGAGUAAAGUGGCGCACGGGUGAGUAACACGUGACUAACCUACCCUUGAGUGGGGAAUAACUUCGGGAAACCGAGGCUAAUACCGCAUAAUACCUACGGGUCAAAGGAGCAAUUCGCUUAAGGAGGGGGUCGCGGCCGAUUAGUUAGUUGGCGGGGUAAUGGCCCACCAAGACGAUGAUCGGUAUCCGGCCUGAGAGGGCGCACGGACACACUGGAACUGAAACACGGUCCAGACUCCUACGGGAGGCAGCAGUGGGGAAUUUUGCGCAAUGGGGGAAACCCUGACGCAGCAACGCCGCGUGGAGGAUGAAGUACUUCGGUACGUAAACUCCUUUCGAUCGGGACGAUAAUGACGGUACCGGAAGAAGAAGCCCCGGCUAACUUCGUGCCAGCAGCCGCGGUAAUACGAGGGGGGCAAGCGUUGUUCGGAAUUAUUGGGCGUAAAGGGUGCGUAGGCGGUUUGGUAAGUCUCUUGUGAAAUUUAUGGGCUCAACUCAUAAACUGCAAGGGAAACUGCCG
rnacentral:rRNA from 1 species